AUUGAACGCUGGCGGCAGGCCUAACACAUGCAAGUCGGACGGUAGCACAGAGGAGCUUGCUCCUCGGGUGACGAGUGGCGGACGGGUGAGUAAUGUCUGGGGAUCUGCCCGAUAGAGGGGGAUAACCACUGGAAACGGUGGCUAAUACCGCAUAACGUCGCAAGCCCAAAGAGGGGGACCUUCGGGCCUCUCACUAUCGGAUGAGCCCAGAUGGGAUUAGCUAGUAGGCGGGGUAACGGCCCACCUAGGCGACGAUCCCUAGCUGGUCUGAGAGGAUGACCAGCCACACUGGAACUGAGACACGGUCCAGACUCCUACGGGAGGCAGCAGUGGGGAAUAUUGCACAAUGGGCGCAAGCCUGAUGCAGCCAUGCCGCGUGUAUGAAGAAGGCCUUCGGGUUGUAAAGUACUUUCAGCGGGGAGGAAGGCGAUGUGGUUAAUAACCGCAUUGAUUGACGUUACCCGCAGAAGAAGCACCGGCUAACUCCGUGCCAGCCGCCGCCGUAA
rnacentral:rRNA from 1 species